GUCUCCUACGGGAGGCAGCAGUGGGGAAUAUUGGGCAAUGGGCGCAAGCCUGACCCAGCAACGCCGCGUGAAGGAAGAAGGCCCUCGGGUUGUAAACUUCUUUUAACAGGGACGAAGAAAGUGACGGUACCUGUUGAAUAAGCCACGGCUAACUACGUGCCAGCAGCCGCGGUAAUACGUAGGUGGCAAGCGUUAUCCGGAUUUACUGGGUGUAAAGGGCGUAUAGGCGGGAGAGCAAGGCAGACGUGAAAUUCCAGGGCUCAAACCUGGAACUGCGGUUUAAAAUGUUCUUCUUGAGUGAUGGG
rnacentral:rRNA from 1 species